GGAAGGGCCAUCGCUCAACGGAUAAAAGCUACCCUGGGGAUAACAGGCUUAUCUCCCCCAAGAGUCCACAUCGACGGGGAGGUUUGGCCCCUCGAUGUCGGCUCAUCACAUCCUGGGGCUGUAGUAGGUCCCAAGGGUUGGGCUGUUCGCCCAUUAAAGUGGUACGCGAGCUGGGUUCAGAACGUCGUGAGACAGUUCGGUCCCUAUCCGUCGCAGGCGUAGGAAAUUUGAGAAG
rnacentral:rRNA from 1 species